rnacentral:rRNA from 1 species
UAAGGAAUAUUGGUCAAUGGACGCAAGUCUGAACCAGCCAUGCCGCGUGAAGGAUGAAGGUCCUCUGGAUUGUAAACUUCUUUUAUCUGGGACGAAAACGGGAUUUUUAUCUCAAUUGACGGUACCAGAGGAAUAAGCACCGGCUAACUCCGUGCCAGCAGCCGCGGUAAUACGGAGGGUGCGAGCGUUAUCCGGAUUUACUGGGUUUAAAGGGUGCGUAGGUGGGCUUAUAAGUCAGUGGUGAAAUCUCCGAGCUUAACUUGGAAACUGCCGUUGAUACUAUAGGUCUUGAAUUAUCUGGAGGUAAGCGGAAUAUGUCAUGUAGCGGUGAAAUGCUUAGAUAUGACAUAGAACACCCAUUACGAAGGCAGCUUACUACAUAUAAAUUGACGCUGAGGCACGAAAGCGUG